rnacentral:tRNA from 1 species
CGCGCAUGUGGUCGAGGUGGUCGGCGACCGUCGCCACCGUGGCGACCGGGCGCGGGUUCGACUCCUCGAAGGCGCGG